UGGGAUCGCCCUUACUCCUACGGGAGGCAGCAGUGGGGGAUAUUGCACAAUGGAGGAAACUCUGAUGCAGCGACGCCGCGUGAGCGAUGAAGUAUUUCGGUAUGUAAAGCUCUAUCAGCAGGGAAGAUAAUGACGGUACCUGACUAAGAAGCCCCGGCUAACUCCGUGCCAGCAGCCGCGGUAAUAAGGGCGAUCC
rnacentral:rRNA from 1 species